UACAGACGGUCCAAACGUUAUUCGGAAUCACUGGGCUUAAAGAGUUCGUGAGGCGGUCGAGGAAAGUGGGGUGUGAAAGCCCUCGGCUUAACCGAGGAAUUGCGCUCCAAACUCCCUGACUUGAGGAGGCUAGAGGUAAGCGGAACUGAUGGUGGAGCGGUGAAAUGCGUUGAUAUCAUCAGGAACACCGGAGGCGAAGGCGGCUUACUGGGGCCGUUUCUGACGCUGAGGAACGAAAGCUAGGGGAGCGAACGGG
rnacentral:rRNA from 1 species